rnacentral:rRNA from 1 species
GAUGAACGCUGGCGGCGUGCUUAACACAUGCAAGUCGAACGGAAAGGCCCAGCUUGCUGGGUACUCGAGUGGCGAACGGGUGAGUAACACGUGGGUGAUCUGCCCCUGACUCUGGGAUAAGCCUGGGAAACUGGGUCUAAUACCGGAUAUGACCAUUCCCUGCAUGGGGGGUGGUGGAAAGCUUUUGCGGUUGGGGAUGGGCCCGCGGCCUAUCAGCUUGUUGGUGGGGUAAUGGCCCACCAAGGCGACGACGGGUAGCCGACCUGAGAGGGGGAUCGGCCACACUGGGACUGAGACACGGCCCAGAGUCCUACGGGAUGCAGCAGUGGGGAAUAUUGCACAAUGGGCGCAAGCCUGAUGCAGCGACGCCGCGUGAGGGAUGACGGCCUUCGGGUUGUAAACCUCUUUCGCCAGAGACGAAGCGCAAGUGACGGUACCUGGAGAAGAAGCACCGGCCAACUACGUGCCAGCCGCCGCCGUAA